UCACACAAAGAAAAAAAAAAGGAGAAAAAACCAAAGUUUUCCCCCUUUUAAUGUUCAGCCGAUCAAUGGUCUCCCCAAAUGACUGUUCUUCUGCCUCUUCUUUCGACCCAUAGAGUUGUCAAUCGAGGUUUCAUUGAACCAAGGGGAUUCAUGGGUCUCGCUUACCAGCCCCAAAUCAACACUGUAUUUCGACGGUAGUGAAACAAGUGGGGACUCGAACGUUUCGGAACGCAGGUAUGGGGAGUGUGUAUGAGGGCUGGGCGCUGGCGCUGGAGGGUACGGAGACUGGGGCGAUGUAGCUGCUGAGGCGCUGGCACCAUGCGAGGUCUGGAGGCUGUAGAGGGUUGCGGCGCAAACGAGGAAGGGAUGACCUAGGGUUGCUGAAACCUUUUGGGCCAUUUGGGCUCAUUUUCAGUAUUGGGCCAUCAGAUUUGGGCUAGAGGGACUGUUUUGGGUAUUUGGGUUUGUAAUAGGACAUUAUUGGCCAUGUAAUAUUUUUUGGGUUUUUAAUUAUAUUUAUUUAUUUACUUGGUUUGUUUGUAACGGGCCUGGGCAUAUUUGGCCCACUAUACCCCCUUCUAACAUUUUUCCCUUAUCGGUAAACUUCCUUUCGUUUUCCUUUGAUUCAGUCUGUGAAUCCUUUAUUCAAUCGUCGCUACUGCGAUUUCUUGGUU